UGUUAGUUAUUAGAAUUCGUCAAAUCUCUUUCAUGUGUAUUGCUCUAAUAAUUGUAUUGCAAGUUACUAACCUAAUUUAAUUUCUUAAUUUUGAGAGUCCUAAUACAUUGAUUUAUGAUAUAUUAAGAAGUUUAACAUGUAAAUCUCUUUGAUUAACUGAUAUCUCUUUCUUAGACCAAUUAAAGCAAAAUAAUAUUAAAAAAAUAAAAAAUAAACUUAAUCAUAAACAAAUAAACGAGAGAUUCGAGAAAGAUUCCGAAUCCGAGUCCCGUCGAUCCGAUUAGAUUCUCUCGGCCUCAGUAAAGCCUUCCACCUCUUCUUCUUACCCUCCGCCUCUCUCGGUCAGUGGGAGAUUCUUCCUCUCUUUUAGAUGUCGGACGACCGGCCGUCGGGGGUCUUCUAUGAGCUCGUUGCGCUCCUCCUCCGUGGCCCCCACCCCGCCUUCCCGCUGCCCGCACCAUUGUCGAGAAUGUCGCUGGCGGAGUUCGCCUCAACCUUGGGACGUCGCUGGUGCUCAUGCUCUGCGGUUCCGUCGCCUUCAGACUGAUGCCCUGGGUCGUCGGGUUGUUUCCUACUGAGUUCGAAUCGUGCCGAACUUGUCUGACUUGGGGAGGGCCGUCCUUCACCCCAGUAGCGGCCCCUCGAGCCCCAAGGAGAUGCCAGGCCCACUGUUCUCUAAACUUCCAAUCAUCUGAUCAUGCAGUGACACCCAAUGAAUUUAUUGUUUAUCAGGCAGGCUUCUGGAGGCAAGUAUCUCCUUUGUUCUUCCAAUUGAUACCAUGUUCGACAUACAAGUUGAUAGUCUUUGUGGCUUUAAAAGAGUUCUGUGAUGUAGUUGAAAUUAUUUCUACUCCCUGAUGUUUACGUACAGGCUAUGUUCUUUUGGGGUGAGUAAAGACCAUGCAUUAAUCUAUAUAUAAGACAGAGAAUAUAUGGUAGAUAUGGUUAGCUCUUUCA